UGUAAAGUACUUAAGGAAAAAAUACUUUAAAGUACUACUUAAGUAGUUUUUGACAGGCGGACUGAACAUAGCAGUGUAGAUCACCUCAAGAUAAAAACGCAAUAUCGGGACCAGGAAUCGGAAGGUCUUUGAAUGGUCUACAAAGCAUGCCCCCAGAUAUCUCGUACAGUAGAAACACUUGCACCUCGUCCACGUCGGCAAUAACUCAUCACUCCUACUCCAGAAUACCAAAAAAGGAAGAGGGCCCCAACUGUUGAUGACAUUGCCUCAGUUGUUAAAAGGCUAGGCCUCUCACCAGACGAAGUUACAGCAGCGGGCUACCAUCAAGAACAUUUAGUAUUUUCUGUGCUUGUCAUUGAACUGGAAAGGUUGAACACCCUCCGCUAUCGUUGUCAACUCUACGACAUGUGGAGUAAGGGAAGGAUAGCCAAUGCACCUCCCCCCUCCAUCUCCCAGAUUGCCCCAUCUCUACCCCCAGGUCCCCCAAUCAAUACCCCAGCAAGUAUACAUCACACGCCUGCUGCCUUUAACACCAGCACAAGCAGCUGAAAUGUUUGAAACGGUUGAUCCCGAUAACGUAUCCCACCACUCCACCCCAAGCCUGGAGACAUUUUUAUGUUUGCGGGUACUUCCUCGUCAUGUGAGUACCGGAAGACAGACCAAAAGCGAUGGAUUCAGAAGGGAUCCCACAGCCUUCCUCACCGUUUACCAAAACUAAGGGUGCGGUACUAUGCAGGGAAAGAAGCACCAGGGCUUCAUAAAGGGAGUAUGAGUUGCUGCAUCAGCCUCAUACUGUGCUCAUUCACUACUUUGAUGAGGAGGCACACUCCGCUGUCCCCCACGCCAACAGCAGCAAGCAAGGGAUUUCAUCUGAUCGGCUCCCUCAAUUAUGAAAUGUCCAAGCGAAAGACAGAAACAUCUGGCAAAGUACACUCGGAAAUGACCAAUAACCCACCACCACCCCCAAUUGCAUCAUUCAUGACAGAGUACCAACCUCACAACUUGGCACAAGUGAAGAACACAAUUCGUUGUGCAAGGGAGGUCACUGUUUUGGACCGGAAUGAGUUUGUGGCAAUACAUGAGAGGUGAUAUUCUCCUCGGAUUUGUCACCCAUAUGGAGACUCAACCCACAACCCUUCUGGUGGUGGCAGCACCAGAAAUGACUGAAGAGGCCAAGGCAGUCAUUAAAAGCAAACACCAAGGAGCACACAUUUUUCACUAUGACACCACAUUUUACCUGGGAAAUUUGUUUCACCCCUUUUCCAUCAUGUACUGUUUCAAGAGACACCUGUCCUUCCCCUGGCCUUCCUCAUUCACAUCACCCGGCACAUGGAAAACCACAAACAAUUCUUUCGCGCCAUCCUUUCACUCCUUCCCCAACUAUCAACAGCAAUCUUCUGCACAGACCGUGAGGUGGCUAUUGAGGAAGUAAACCAGUCUGUGAUUCCGCAAGCCAGGAUUGUCAAUUGCUGGAACCACAUCUCAAACAAUGUGAAGCACAAGAUGGGGUCAGAGGGUGUCCAAACUGUGGCCGAUUACCAGCAGACCAUCAAAAAGCUCUUGGCAUCGAAAUCAAGGAGUGACUACAAAUGCACACUGGAGAGUGUGUGUCCACUGGAGCCCUGACCUCAGGGCUUAUUUCCAUCAGUCGAUGUCCGACACCAUGGACAAGAGCCCACAAUAUGUGCUAAACAGCUUGGGCAUCCAGUCAGACGGUAUUACAAACAACUGCUCAGAGAGCUUCAAUGCUGUCCUCAAGGCAAAGGUUGGAUGGAAGAAGUUCAGAGUAGAUCAAUUGGUUUAUCUACUCUACCAACUCCAAACCAAUGCCUUGAGGGAAGUGCUGCGGGGCUACUGUAACCUAGGGAAUUUCCACCUGACCUCUGAGUGCCAUGAACAAUUUUCCAGGUGAAUGCCCACCACCAGUUUCCCCUACCACAUGUCGGAGGACGACAGGGUUUCUUUUGCUGAAGGCAUACAGUCCUGUGUGGCACAGGAAGAGUAUGACAUGGCAGAAACUGGAGCGGAGGCCUUGGCCAGGAUGAUUGUGGCAAAGGGAUGAUGACACCUGGUGCCAAGCACCCAAUCAUUCCUCUACCAGGGCUUCUCAGACAAGCAGCACAGCGUUACUCUGUUACCAAUGGAGCUGUGCUCCUGCUCUGCAUCGGAGAGUGCCCAGAGGUGUGUCCACCGACUGGCAGCUGUACUGGCCAUUGGCGGAAGUGUGGACAGUCCUAUGCCAAUAAAGCUAAGGACAAGGCAUCUGAGCGCAAAACGCUCUGGCCAUAAGUGUGCCACCAAAGAGCAUGUCCAGAUGGCCGCCAAACGCCAGGUAGAACAAUCAACCGUUGAUCAAUAGGUCUGUCUUAUUUGUUCCUAGAUUUUGUCUUAUUUGGGUACGUCACAAAAUGUUGACCAUUUUACUAAGCCAUGUGAUCCUCAUGUGUUUUAUGUAUAUCCAUUAACACAAAAUGCAGGCCUGUCCCAAACUGAACUGUCAACAUUAUUCAAUAGGGUGACCAAUUCCAACGGUCUCUGAAACACACCCAGCAGGAAUGACGAAUAGAUUUCUUCACCUAUACAAUGUCGUCGGAUUGCGUGGACAGGGCAAACACAAGGAUUUUGUUGGAGGGAUCCAUUGCCAUCCUGCACCUCCAUGACUUCCUUACGUUGAAGCCCAAUGAGUGGCUUAGUGGGGAGGUCAUUGACUUCUACCUCCAACUGAAGAGGAUUGACUGUCAAGUGUAGAGGGAUGUUUUUAUUGUGGAUCACCUUCUGGCAGGGAAUAUCCUGCAUGAGGAUAAGGUGGUGAUGCGCAAGAACACAUUGUCAAAGGUAAAUGCAUGUCUGCAGAGUUGCUUUUGUGUCAUGGUUCAAAAUAAGAGGCUAGAGGGGUCAAUGUGUGGAGAGGUGCCACCUUCCUGACAAGAAAUGGCCUGCCACACUAUAUAAAUGUAUCUUCAUUCCUCUUCCUGUAGUCCAGUCUGGAGCAGCACAGUUGCUUGAUUGGAGCUUGCAACGUGGCAAACUACCACUGAAUACUCUUGGUAAGCUUGGUACUGCUUGCGUUCAGUAUGUCAAUCACAAGGACCCACUCUGCCAUUGUCCUGGACCCUACUGGUUUCCCUAACGCGGAGCGCCAUAUGAGCGAGAACCUGGUCAAGCACAUCAGGUUUGGUAAAUCCAGUUGUGUAAAAACACUUGAAAGUAGUUUUUUGGAGUAUUUGUACUUUACUAUUUAUAUUUUUGACAACUUUUACUACAUUCCUAAAGAAAAUAACGCCGUUUUUACUCCAUACAUUUUCAUUGACACCCAAAAGUGAUGGUUACAUCCUGCUUAGCAGGACAGGAAAAUGUUAGCAUUCAUGCACUUAUCAAGAGAACAUCCCUGGUCAUCGCUACUGCCUUUGAUCUGGGGGACUCACUACACACAAAUUCUUUGUUUGUAAAUUAUGUCGGAGUGUUUGAAUGUGCUUCUGGCUAUCUGUAAAUUUAAAAAACAAUCUUUCCUUCUGGUUUGCUUAAUCUGAAGCAUUUGAAAUUAUUUAUCCUUUAACUUUUACAUUUGUUACUUAAGUAUA